CCUACGGGAUGCAGCAGUGAGGAAUAUUGGUCAAUGGGCGGGAGCCUGCACCAGCCAAGCCGCGUGAGGGAAGAAGGUACAGCGUAUCGUAAACCUCUUUUGUCAGGGAACAAAGGCGGGGACUAGUCCACGGAUGAGGGUAGCUGAAGAAAAAGCAUCGGCUAACUCCGUGCCAGCAGCCGCGGUAAUACGGAGGCUGCGAUCGUUCUACGGAUUUAGUGGGUUUAAAGGGUGCGCAGGCGGCCUGUUAAGUCAGCGGUAAAAGCCCGGGGCUCAACCCCGGCGAGCCGUUGAAACUGGCGGGCUGGAGUUGGAGAGAAGUACGCGGAAUGCGCGGUGUAGCGGUGAAAUGCUUAGAUAUCGCGCAGAACCCCGAUUGCGAAGGCAGCGUACCGGCUCCACACUGACGCUGAGGCACGAAAGCGUGGGUAUCGAACAGGAUUAGAUACCCCUGUAGUC
rnacentral:rRNA from 1 species